GCUCUAUCUAAUGGAUCAUAUUCAUCGAUCAUAGGACAUAACUAAUGCAUGAUUUUGCCAGAUCACUGUUACGCCCCUUGGUGCUCUUUCCCCAGCGAAUGUGGAAUGUGAGGCCUUUUUUAAGGAUUGGCUGCCAAAUGUGGCUUAAUGCCCUUCACUGGCUUCCUAACGCUGUUAGAUGCCUUUGUGACUAAUAAAUAUGAGUUGAGGAUUGCUUCUCUAUGUGGAAAUUAUAUACUUCAAACUCAAGUUAUUGUCAAGGUCAUUCAUUUUUUAAGCCAUGUCUUGUGCCAUCUCUUUGCCUGGGAAUCUUAAACUUCGGUAAAUGGUGUCAAUGUCAAGUAAGAAUUGUACGAGAUUUCAAUUUUCCCAGUUAAUACAAACGGGGUCCGUUCACAUUUGACUACUGAAAAUAAUGGCAUCUUCCUAAUGCAAUUUAUGUGCAGGAUUGA